rnacentral:rRNA from 1 species
UACGUAGGGGGCAAGCGUUGUCCGGAUUUACUGGGCGUAAAGAGCGUGUAGGCGGCCAAGCAGGUCCGUUGUGAAAACUCGAGGCUCAACCUCGAGACGUCGGUUGAAACCACCUGGCUAGAGUCCGGAAGAGGAGAGUGGAAUUCCCGGUGUAGCGGUGAAAUGCGCAGAUAUCGGGAAGAACACCCGUGGCGAAGGCGGCUCUCUGGGACGGUACUGACGCUGAGACGCGAAAGCGUGGGGAGCGAACAGG